UCCCUAGUAGCUCAGUUGGUUAAGAAUCUGCCUGUAAUGCAGGAGACCCAGGUUCGAUCCCUGGAUCAGGAA
rnacentral:tRNA from 1 species